GCAGUCGUGGCCGGGUGGUUAAGGCAAUGGACUAGAAAUCCAUUGGGGUCUCUUUGCACAGGUUCAAAUCCUGUCGACUGCG
rfam:Ixodes scapularis strain Wikel colony gcontig_1108378501470, whole genome shotgun sequence.